rnacentral:rRNA from 1 species
GACGAACGCUGGCGGCGUGCUUAACACAUGCAAGUCGAACGGAAGUUUCAGCAAUGGAACUUUAGUGGCGAACGGGUGAGUAACGCGUAGACAACCUACCUUCUAGAUGGGACAACACCGCGAAAGUGGUGCCAAUACCGAAUGUAGUAACUUGGGUGCAUGCCUAAGUUACCAAAGAUGGCCUCUAUUUAUAAGCUAUCGCUAGAAGAUGGGUCUGCGUCUGAGUAGCUAGUUGGUGGGGUAAUGGCUCACCAAGGCAACGAUCAGUAGCCGGUCUGGGAGGAUGAACGGCCACACUGGGACUGAGACACGGCCCAGACUCCUACGGGAGGCAGCAGUGGGGAAUCUUCCGCAAUGGACGAAAGUCUGACGGAGCAACGCCGCGUGAGUGAUGACGGUUUUCGGAUUGUAAAACUCUGUCUACAGGGACGAAUGUAUUUAUUGCUAAUACCAGUAGAUAAUGACGGUACCUGAGGAGGAAGCCACGGCUAACUACGUGCCAGCCGCCGCCGUAACAC